rnacentral:rRNA from 1 species
UACGGGGGGGGCAAGCGUUGUUCGGAAUUACUGGGCGUAAAGGGCUCGUAGGUGGCCAACUAAGUCAUGCGUGAAAUCCCUCGGCUUAACCCGGGAACUGCGUCCGAUACUGGCAGGCUUGAAUCCGGGAGAGGGAUGCGGAAUUCCAGGUGUAGCGGUGAAAUGCGUAGAUAUCUGGAGGAACACCGGUGGCGAAGGCGGCAUCCUGGACCGGCAUUGACGCUGAGGCGCGAAAGCCAGGGGAGCAAACGGG